ncrna:unclassified sequences pemK RNA
AUAAUGAUACUUUUGCCCAGCCACAGCCUUGUAAAAACAAGAACACGCAAUGGGGGCAGCCCGGUGAGAACCACGGGGAGGUUAGAUUCCUAUGG